GGUUAAGCGACUAAGCGUACACGGUGGAUGCCCUGGCAGUCAGAGGCGAUGAAGGACGUGCUAAUCUGCGAAAAGCGUCGGUAAGGUGAUAUGAACCGUUACAGCCGGCGAUGUCCGAAUGGGGAAACCCAGUGCAAUUCGUUGCACUAUCGUUAACUGAAUACAUAGGUUAACGAGGCGAACCGGGGGAACUGAAACAUCUAAGUACCCCGAGGAAAAGAAAUCAACCGAGAUUCCCCCAGUAGCGGCGAGCGAACGGGGAGCAGCCCAGAGUCUGAAUCAGCUUGUGUGUUAGUGGAACGGUCUGGAAAGUCCGACGGUACAGGGUGAUAGUCCCGUACACCAAAAUGCACAGGCUGUGAACUCGAAGAGUAGGGCGGGACACGUGGUAUCCUGUCUGAAUAUGGGGGGACCAUCCUCCAAGGCUAAAUACUCCUGACUGACCGAUAGUGAACCAGUACCGUGAGGGAAAGGCGAAAAGAACCCCGGCGAGGGGAGUGAAAAAGAACCUGAAACCGUGUACGUACAAGCAGUGGGAGCACCUUCGGGUGUGACUGCGUACCUUUUGUAUAAUGGGUCAGCGACUUAUAUUCUGUAGCAAGGUUAACCGUAUAGGGGAGCCGCAGGGAAACCGAGUCUUAACUGGGCGUUAAGUUGCAGGGUAUAGACCCGAAACCCGGUGAUCUAGCCAUGGGCAGGUUGAAGGUUGGGUAACACUAACUGGAGGACCGAACCGACUAAUGUUGAAAAAUUAGCGGAUGACUUGUGGCUGGGGGUGAAAGGCCAAUCAAACCGGGAGAUAGCUGGUUCUCCCCGAAAGCUAUUUAGGUAGCGCCUCGUGAAUUCAUCUUCGGGGGUAGAGCACUGUUUCGGCUAGGGGGUCAUCCCGACUUACCAACCCGAUGCAAACUACGAAUACCGAAGAAUGUUAUCACGGGAGACACACGGCGGGUGCUAACGUCCGUCGUGAAGAGGGAAACAACCCAGACCGCCAGCUAAGGUCCCAAAGUCAUGGUUAAGUGGGAAACGAUGUGGGAAGGCACAGACAGCCAGGAUGUUGGCUUAGAAGCAGCCAUCAUUUAAAGAAAGCGUAAUAGCUCACUGGUCGAGUCGGCCUGCGCGGAAGAUGUAACGGGGCUAAACCAUGCACCGAAGCUGCGGCAGCGACACUAUGUGUUGUUGGGUAGGGGAGCGUUCUGUAAGCCUGCGAAGGUGACCUGUGAGGGUUGCUGGAGGUAUCAGAAGUGCGAAUGCUGACAUAAGUAACGAUAAAGCGGGUGAAAAGCCCGCUCGCCGGAAGACCAAGGGUUCCUGUCCAACGUUAAUCGGGGCAGGGUGAGUCGACCCCUAAGGCGAGGCCGAAAGGCGUAGUCGAUGGGAAACAGGUUAAUAUUCCUGUACUUGGUGUUACUGCGAAGGGGGGACGGAGAAGGCUAUGUUAGCCGGGCGACGGUUGUCCCGGUUUAAGCAUGUAGGCUGAUUAUCCAGGCAAAUCCGGAUAAUCAAGGCUGAGGUGUGAUGACGAGGCACUACGGUGCUGAAGUAACAAAUGCCCUGCUUCCAGGAAAAGCCUCUAAGCAUCAGGUAACAUCAAAUCGUACCCCAAACCGACACAGGUGGUCAGGUAGAGAAUACCAAGGCGCUUGAGAGAACUCGGGUGAAGGAACUAGGCAAAAUGGUGCCGUAACUUCGGGAGAAGGCACGCUGGUGUGUAGGUGAAGUCCCUGCGGAUGGAGCUGAGACCAGUCGAAGAUACCAGCUGGCUGCAACUGUUUAUUAAAAACACAGCACUGUGCAAACACGAAAGUGGACGUAUACGGUGUGACGCCUGCCCGGUGCCGGAAGGUUAAUUGAUGGGGUUAUCCGUAAGGAGAAGCUCUUGAUCGAAGCCCCGGUAAACGGCGGCCGUAACUAUAACGGUCCUAAGGUAGCGAAAUUCCUUGUCGGGUAAGUUCCGACCUGCACGAAUGGCGUAAUGAUGGCCAGGCUGUCUCCACCCGAGACUCAGUGAAAUUGAACUCGCUGUGAAGAUGCAGUGUACCCGCGGCAAGACGGAAAGACCCCGUGAACCUUUACUAUAGCUUGACACUGAACAUUGAGCCUUGAUGUGUAGGAUAGGUGGGAGGCUUUGAAGCGUGGACGCCAGUCUGCGUGGAGCCAACCUUGAAAUACCACCCUUUAAUGUUUGAUGUUCUAACGUUGGCCCCUUACCGGGGUUGCGGACAGUGUCUGGUGGGUAGUUUGACUGGGGCGGUCUCCUCCCAAAGCGUAACGGAGGAGCACGAAGGUUAGCUAAUCCUGGUCGGACAUCAGGAGGUUAGUGCAAUGGCAUAAGCUAGCUUGACUGCGAGCGUGACGGCGCGAGCAGGUGCGAAAGCAGGUCAUAGUGAUCCGGUGGUUCUGAAUGGAAGGGCCAUCGCUCAACGGAUAAAAGGUACUCCGGGGAUAACAGGCUGAUACCGCCCAAGAGUUCAUAUCGACGGCGGUGUUUGGCACCUCGAUGUCGGCUCAUCACAUCCUGGGGCUGAAGUAGGUCCCAAGGGUAUGGCUGUUCGCCAUUUAAAGUGGUACGCGAGCUGGGUUUAGAACGUCGUGAGACAGUUCGGUCCCUAUCUGCCGUGGGCGCUGGAGAAUUGAGGGGGGCUGCUCCUAGUACGAGAGGACCGGAGUGGACGCAUCACUGGUGUUCGGGUUGUCAUGCCAAUGGCACUGCCCGGUAGCUAAAUGCGGAAGAGAUAAGUGCUGAAAGCAUCUAAGCACGAAACUUGCCCCGAGAUGAGUUCUCCCUGAGACUUUAAGUCUCCUGAAGGAACGUUAAAGACGAUGACGUUGAUAGGCCGGGUGUGUAAGCGCAGCGAUGCGUUGAGCUAACCGGUACUAAUGAACCGUGAGGCUUAACCUU
rnacentral:rRNA from 1 species